rnacentral:lncRNA from 1 species
CGCUCACUGCCGAGCCUCGGUCUCCUCGUCUGACACUAUGUGGGCGUCUGAACCGGGCCCAGCCGCCUAGGCCGGGCCACCGCGAGAGUCUGGCGCGAGGGUGUCACUUCCCGUGACGAGGGGAGAGUUGGCGUUUUGACAACAGGAGGUGGCCCGGCCGCGGGACCCCUGUUCCCCGUGGGGAGCAGCCGUCCCCGCACCCGCCAAGAGGACCGGGGCAGAGCCCGCCCGCCGCCCGCCCCGCUGUCUUGGGAAGGUUCCGAGUGCACCGCGAGGGCCCUGCGCGCCGCCCUCACCUGCAAAGGGUUUUUUUUUUUUUUUUUUGAGUUUUUCCAAAACCGAGCAGUGCGCCCCGCGGGUAGAACGCCUCGGGUGGGAAGGGCCUGGAGCGCACGGCGCUGCCAUGGGCCCCCGAGGAAGGCGCUGUUUCCUCCUGUGGAUGGACGACGGCCCAGUCCGGUUUCCUCCCUGGCUCCGGUGGCCCAGUGUUUCCUUGGUUCGAAUCCUGGACGCAGACAUGGCACCACUCAUCCAGCCACGCUGAGGCGGCGUCCCACAUGCCACAACUAGAAGGACCCACGACUAAGAAUAUAUAACUAU